AGUGGAAUAGCUGGGUCAAAUGGUGGGUCCAUUUCAAGUUUUCUGAGGAAUCUCCAUAUUGCUUUCCAGAGUGGCUGCACUAAUUUGCAGUCCUAUCAGCAAG
rnacentral:pre_miRNA from 1 species